rnacentral:ncRNA from 18 species
CAGUAGUAUAGCGCCUCCGGUCUCUACCUGAGUGAAAAGGGAAUUUGGUGCAAAUCCAAAACUGACGCGCAGCGGUAAGAGGGAACGAAGGUAGCAAGCAGAUGAUCUGCAGACACUGUUUCUUAUGUCGGGUGACACUUUCUCACCCCGCGUAACAAUGGGAAGUCGGCUACUGUAGGCAGACAGCCCUCAAGUCCGAAGACCUGCCGGAACUGACGAGCCUGUU